rnacentral:lncRNA from 13 species
ACGACCCCCCAACUGCUCAGGCACCUUGCACGCCCCUCUUACAUCUCCAGGCACUGUGCGCUGACCCCCGCCUUCGCCGGCCCGCCCGUGGGCCGGGUCCCGACUCCCACCCCUCUGGGCACCCCUCGCUCUGGAGGUGUCCGGAAAGCCGCCGCCGGGUCGCCUGUGUCCGCACUCCGCCCUAGGGGAAGCCCGCUGCCACCGUCGGCCCCGAGCGCUGUCCCGGGGCCGCGUCGAGAGCUCCGCGGCGCACACUGUCCCCACGGGGAAGGGUCCAGAGAGCCUGGCCACCGUCAGCGGCGCGCUCGGGGCUGCGGGCACCAGGCUGCCGGGAUUUCAGGGACCGUCGGUCCGCCGGGGGUCCCCGAGCCGGGCCCGAGCGUGCGCGCGCGACCCACUGCCCGCAAUCAUGGCAGCCGGAGCCUUGGAGCGCAGUCGCCGAGCGCGCCCCAGCAGCCGCCUCGGUGCCAGGGCGGCGGGGGUGGGCCAGGCCGGGAGCUCGCGCCCGCCCCCCCGCCUCGGCCGCGCGGGCACCGGGGCGCGAAACGGAAGGACUCUGGGUCCCCGCGGCGCGGUGCCCCUGCCCCGGGCGGGCAGCGGGAGGGGCCGCAGAGCGGGGGCGCGCUGGCGGGGAGCGCCCGGGGCGGCGUGCCCGCGGGGACGCGCACGCGGGGCUGCGGGGCGAGGCGCGGGGCCCGGGCGGCGAAUCCGCAGCUCGCGCCGCCCGCCCCGCCCGCGCGCGCUGUCCCGGGUGGGGGGCGGCGGAGGGGGGAACCCAGGAGGGGCGGCGCCCGGUCCUCACCCGCAGCGGGCACGGCGGGGGCCGCGAGCGGCCUCGUUGGUAUUCCGGGCGCGGUUGCAGCCCCGACCUUCCCGCAGAACAGGGGUGCCCGGGAGCGCGGGCACCGCCGCCGUUCUCCGGCGGUCUCCGCGGGCUGCGGGGCCCGCAGGCGCCUUGCUUUCCCCGUCCCCUCCUCCCUGGGUCCCCCGUACUCCCUCCCCCGCUACGAUCCGGCGGCGAAGGGGUGGGCAGGGAAACGCGCUCUCUGGGACAGGUGCCAACUCCGAGACAAAAGACAUAAAAUAGGCGGCAACGGGGGAAGCGCGGCCGGCGCGCUCGGGCGGGGACGGCGGCGCCGCGGGGGCCGCAUCCUCGGUGCCGACCCGGGAAAGUUUGGGAAGUCGCCGCGGUCGCUUCGCAGCGGCGGGGGACGCGCGGCCCGGGUCGCCCUCCGCGCUGCGCUCGCCCUCUCCGCGCCGCUGCUGAAUAAUUCAUGGCGCGGCCGCCGGCCAUUAGCAUGCACCGGGCGCGCGGCGCGUCUGUGCCAAGCCGCCGCAGCAUUCGGCGCCCUGGCAGCGCCAGACGAGCGGCCUCUCGGCGGCCGGGCCCACGCUGUCCCCGCGCCCGCCCGCCCGCCCGGCGGUGCCCAUUGUGCCCCGGCCCGCCCCGCCGGGCCGUCCCCAAGCCCGCCUGCAACCCGCCGCCCGCCCGACGGCCCGGCUCUGCAAGUCCUGGCCCGCGACGCCCGCUCGGAAUGCACGUGA